CCUACGGGGGGCAGCAGUAGGGAAUCUUCCACAAUGGACGAAAGUCUGAUGGAGCAACGCCGCGUGAGUGAAGAAGGUUUUCGGCUCGUAAAGCUCUGUUGGCAGGGAAGAAAGAUAGAUGUAGUAACUGGCCUUGAUUUGACGGUACUUACUUAGGAAGUACCGGCUAACUACGUGCCAGCAGCCGCGGUAAUACGUAGGUGGCAAGCGUUGUCCGGAAUUAUUGGGCGUAAAGCGAGUGCAGGCGGUUCAAUAAGUCUGAUGUGAAAGCCUUGGGCUCAACCGGAGAAUUGCCUUUGAAACUGUUGAAAUUGAGUGCAGAAGAGGAGAGUGGAACUCCAUGUGGAGCGGUGGAAUGCGUAGAUAUAUGGAAGAACACCAGUGGCGAAGGCGGCUCUCUGGUCUGCAACUGACGCUGAGGCUCGAAAGCAUGGGUAGCGAACAGGAUUAGAUACCCGGGUAGUC
rnacentral:rRNA from 1 species